GCCACGCGGAGAAGCCACAGGGAGUAUUUCCGUGGGCCCCUGUUGAGGAGCUGAGAUCCUAACUGUGAGCUUGCAUCAACCUCUGGGCAUCAGUGAGCCUCUCUCCCGUCUUUACACCAAUGUAUAACUACUAUGAGCAUGAAGCAGAGAGGAAAAGCAAGACUAAUGUACCUCAUUUUCUCAUAAAAACUUUCCUCCGAGGAGACAAAGGCAUUCUCUUCAUCCAGCAUGCAAAAAUAUUCUUUACAAGCUUCUAUAGCGUUCUCUUGGCUAAUGAGAUUGGAAGAUUGUGCCCACUGGUAGAAGCAGAUCUUAGGUCUUAGGUUUUAUUCUGCAAAUGAGUACUAAUGGGGGCUACAACAGACCUUGCUUAAUAAGACAUCUUCUAACUGUAUCAGAACUGCAGAUGACGCAUUCAAGAUAAAGUCUUUCAUUUACUAUGCCUUUACUAGAUAGUGCAUUUGGCACUGUGGGAACAGGAAAUCUAAUUUUGAAGGGAAGCCUUCCAUUUCCAGCCAAGAUGGUGGAAGCAUGGAUAGUCUAUUAAAUAAGCUUCAAACGUUAAUAAUACAAAUGGAAUAAUGGUUUCAAGA